AAUUAACCGGAUAAAUGAAUCCUUGCUUCUACAACAUGACGGGAUCCAAAGCGCCAUUUUGCAUUGCAAGAGAUUUUUCAAUUCAUCAAGAGAAUCUUCAUGAUUGUCGAGAUGCACAAGUGAUUCUUCUUUACAAGAGGAAUUAAGCAACGCUUCUUCAACAGAUUCUUCCAUGUUUUCAUGAGCUACAAGCAUUUCCGCCAGAAC